rnacentral:rRNA from 1 species
UACGGAGGGUCCAAGCGUUAUCCGGAUUUAUUGGGUUUAAAGGGUGCGUAGGCGGAUAUGUAAGUCAGCGGUGAAACUCACAGGCUCAACCUGUGCCGUGCCGUUGAAACUGUGUAUCUGGAAUGCGGAUGCUGUGGGAGGAAUGUGUAGUGUAGCGGUGAAAUGCAUAGAUAUUACACAGAACACCGAUUGCGAAGGCAUCUCACAAAGCCGUUAUUGACGCUGAGGCACGAAAGUGUGGGGAUCAAACAGGA